UGUAUCUGAAGUCUGACGAGGAUGAGAACCUCCGGAGGCAAGAGGUUCGACCCGAGCGAAGCGAGAGAACGUUGCGUCAGCAACGGCCCGCAGGGCGAGCCACGCAGUGGCGAGUCAUCCUCUAUCACCGACCA
rnacentral:sRNA from 11 species